UACGGGGGGGGCAAGCGUUGUUCGGAAUUACUGGGCGUAAAGGGCGCGUAGGCGGCCUGCUAAGUCGGAUGUGAAAUCCCUCGGCUCAACCGAGGAACUGCAUCCGAUACUGGCGGGCUUGAAUCCGGGAGAGGGAUGUGGAAUUCCAGGUGUAGCGGUGAAAUGCGUAGAUAUCAAGAGGAACACCUGAGGUGAAGACGGGUUGCUGGGCUGACACUGACGCUGAGGCGCGAAAGCGUGGGGAGCAAACAGG
rnacentral:rRNA from 1 species